CUUUUCGCUCAAACAGGUGGAAACGGAUCGGUGGGGGCUCGAUCUCAUACAGGGAUGCCGGCGACGCGGCGACGCAGGCGGUCCACGAUGGGAUCCAGUGUUUGCUGGUCUUCCCAGUGGAUCGAGCCGAGGCGCUCAAGGCGAUCUAGCGGCGCGCGGCCUUCUCAAUGGAUCCAGCCGAAGCGCGCUAGGGAAUCAUCCUAGGGUUUGGAGUUGGUGACCGAGGAGGAGGCGGCACCGGCGAUGGUGCGCAAGCCGUGCACGAGGCCACGGCGACUCCACAAAGUCUGCUCCGCUCUCCCCGACCCUCGACGGCGUGCUCUCCGAUCUGCACUCCCUCCUUCUCUCCACGCUCGCCGCGUCGCUGCGCUCCCCAUCACCAUGGCAACGAUGUGAGUUUCAGUGUGCCCAGCUCAUCCCGUGUUCGAUUGGGCUGGGGCGCUCAUGGCGGCGCUGGAAGGAAUCUCCUAGCCAAAUUUUAGCAUGGAGGCGCCUUCCAGAGCACCUUGCCGCUGGUAGUGAUGUCCGACGGCGUGAGGACAUGGUGAGGCUUCAACGAAUCAUCCAUGGAUUCGACGAUUUCAAGGCUUCAAUGGAUUAAAUCUGAGAAGAUAAUUCUUGAAAUGGAGGAGGUUCAAUUGGUGUUCCUGGAGAUGACAAGAAAGAUCAUUCAAGGGAAGAGGAUUUGUUGCGAGAGAGUCGGAUACCGGUGUGGAUGAUCCUCUCAAUGGACUCAUUGCAGCAUCACAAAGACACAGGCAACGGUGCUACUGCUGAUGGUAGAGAGGAGAUCAACGGCAAGGGAGGCAAGGGAAAAACUGAGGGUCAAAGAGGGUUUACAACUAGGUAUAAAGCUUCAUGAGGACUCAUCUUCUUGGGAUGGAAGAUGAUCGGUUACUGGUGCUUGUGAAUAUCUGCGGAAGUACAGUAGCCUGUAGCUUUGUAGGCGUUGAACUAAAUACCAAUCAAAGUAGGAGCGAAAGGAAGAUAAUAUAGGUUUUGAUCCGCCAAAAGGUCUAUUUAUUCUCAUUUCAGUUAAGAUUUACCUCUAAAACAUUGCAUGAACUCCUGCGCAUAUUGGAUACUUUAUUUAUGCACCUUCUUGCAUUUUAAUUCCAUGUAAGUUGUGCACUCUAUUUAGUAAGUUAUUUGUAUUUUGGCUACAAAUGAUUUUAUUGGAUAUAUUGUAGACAUUUUCUGCAGGGACUGUUGCAACUUGCUAGACAUAGGAAAAGAUGGGAGUCAAUCCAAGAUGACAUCAGCAACCAAAGGUGACAUUUAUAUAAACAUUUGGAUUUCUGAUACAAGAAUAGUCAUGUGUUUUUUCUUUGAAGGUGUGUGAUUUUCUUUUAGUGUGGAAAUUAUUAUGAUGAUCAUUCAUCAGAGAUGGGUCCGUGCAUUAUUUUCUUCUUACAAAGAAAUUCAAGUUUGAAUCUUAGAUUUAACAAUUACUCCCUUUGUUCCUUUAUAUAAGGUGUAUUUGUUUUUUUAAGUCAAACGAGUGCAAGUUUGGCCAAGUUUUUAGAAAAAUAUAUCAACAUUCACAAUAUGAAUUUAUAUAUCAUUUGAUCUCAACAUAAAGAUUAAUUUCAUAUUAUAUCUAUUAGGAAUUGCAGAUGUUGUUAUUUUGUUCUACAAUCUUGGUCAAAUAUUCAAAUGAUUAACUUGCACGGAAAUCAAUACACCUUAUAUUCUGGAACGGAGGGAGUAUUUGACAUGUCAUGAAGUGUGUACUGCAUCACUCACAAAAAUCAUAGCUUCCAUCCAGCGGCUUUGGCCGAGUUAAUUUGUGCAUUGAUGUUUCACCAUUUCCUGAAGUUAUAUAACUAUUGUGGUUUCCUUCAGGUUAAUGCGAUUACUCCAUUAAGUGAAGGUUAGUCGUUGCUCCUUGAUCAAGGCUAUUAAUUUAUAGAUGGGUUUUCGAAUAUACUCAUAGUAGUCCAGUGAUGAGUAUAAGUUGAAGCAAGAGUCUAUUAAAUAAAUAAAAAACAUUUUCAUUUGAAAGUAGCCAUAAGAUAGAAAUGGAUAUACAUAUGUUGUAUAAUGAAACGAAGAUGUAUAUAGCAUGUCCAGCUCCAAGAGACUAUUUUCCUCUUUUUGGUUAUACUUACUACUGUCCAUUUCAAGACAAAAGAAAACUACUGCGAAACAACUUUUUUAGACUGUUUUUAUCAUUUUCAAUAGCUCAUGGUUCAAUUAUGUUUAACUUUUUGUCACCUUAAUGUUAUGAAAAUUCCUAUCAACCUAUUGCCAAAACAGAUGGGCGCGGCAACGCGCGCCUCCGAUGAUCUAGUUUCAUAUUAUCAUUGAUCCUUGCGAAGAUCACGGUUCUGCUCUUCCAAUAAAAUAACCUCAUUGCCUCCACUGGGGGUAUGAGUUGAUUUCCUUCUUCAUGGAUCCGGCCAGUCGUGACCCCUUUAGUUUCCUCCUGCCCGGCAGUGUCCUCAUCUCUGGACGACCACUCAUAAUAGACCUCACUGAAAGGGCGUUUGCCCUCGAGGGUUGCAUGAUUCGAUGCUUGGUACGGAGCCUUCGGGGUGCCAUGGGGAGCUUGACGACCAAGUCCUGUCAGAAAAAUGGCCCGAAAGAAGAACAGAGGAUAAACUUGCGAUACGGUGGUCAAAACAGCGAGGAGUAUAUAUAAUGAUUUUUUUCAUGCAGGACAAGUAAUCUGGAAGGAAACAGAGUCGGUAAAGUCCACAGGGAGUCACGAGCCCACACAGCGCGCCUUGGGGGGUAGGGCGCGCCCCCUGAGCUCGUCGCUCCCUCGUGCACUUUCCUGAUUGUUUAUUAUUUCCUA